rnacentral:rRNA from 1 species
UGAGAACUCAGGAGAAGGAACUCGGCAAAUUAACACCGUAACUUCGGGAGAAGGUGUGCCCUUGUAGGGUGAAGUCCCUUGCGGAUGGAGCUCGAAAAGGUUGCAGUGAAAAGGUGGCUGCGACUGUUUAUUAAAAACACAGCACUCUGCAAACACGAAAGUGGACGUAUAGGGUGUGACGCCUGCCCGGUGCUGGAAGAUUAAAUGAUGGGGUGCAAGCUCUUGACUGAAGUCCCAGUAAACGGCGGCCGUAACUAUAACGGUCCUAAGGUAGCGAAAUUCCUUGUCGGGUAAGUUCCGACCCGCACGAAUGGCGUAACGAUGGCCACACUGUCUCCUCCUGAGACUCAGCGAAGUUGAAAUGUUUGUGAAGAUGCAAUCUCCCCGCUGCUAGACGGAAAGACCCCGUGAACCUUUACUGUAGCUUUGCAUUGGACUUUGAACAGACUUGUGUAGGAUAGGUGGGAGGCUUUGAAGUGGGAACGCCAGUUCUCAUGGAGCCGUCCUUGAAAUACCACCCUGGUGUGUUUGAGGUUCUAACCUGGGUCCGUCAUCCGGAUCGGGGACCGUGCAUGGUAGGCAGUUUGACUGGGGCGGUCUCCUCCCAAAGUGUAACGGAGGAGCUCGAAGGUCGCCUAGGUACGGUCGGACAUCGUACUGAUAGUGUAAUGGCAUAAGGCGGCUUAACUGCGAGACCGACAAGUCGAGCAGGUGCGAAAGCAGGACAUAGUGAUCCGGUGGUUCUGUAUGGAAGGGCCAUCGCUCAACGGAUAAAAGGUACUCCGGGGAUAACAGGCUGAUACCGCCCAAGAGUUCACAUCGACGGCGGUGUUUGGCACCUCGAUGUCGGCUCAUCACAUCCUGGGGCUGUAGCCGGUCCCAAGGGUAUGGCUGUUCGCCAUUUAAAGUGGUACGUGAGCUGGGUUUAAAACGUCGUGAGACAGUUUGGUCCCUAUCUGCAGUGGGCGUUGGAAGUUUGAGGGGGGCUGCUCCUAGUACGAGAGGACCGGAGUGGACGAACCUCUGGUGUACCGGUUAUGACGCCAGUCGUAUCGCCGGGUAGCUAAGUUCGGAAGAGAUGACCGCUGAAAGCAUCUAAGCGGGAAACUUGCCUCAAGAUGAGACUUCCCUGGCAGCUUGACUGCCCUGAAGGGUCGUGGAAGACCACCACGUUGAUAGGUCGGGUGUGGAAGCGCAGUAAUGCGUUAAGCUAACCGAUACUAAUUGCCCGUGCGGCUUGAUCCU